GAUGAACGCUGGCGGCGUGCCUAAUACAUGCAAGUCGAGCGAACAGACGAGGAGCUUGCUCCUCUGACGUUAGCGGCGGACGGGUGAGUAACACGUGGAUAACCUACCUAUAAGACUGGGAUAACUUCGGGAAACCGGAGCUAAUACCGGAUAAUAUAUUGAACCGCAUGGUUCAAUAGUGACAGACGGUUUUGCUGUCACUUAUAGAUGGAUCCGCGCCGCAUUAGCUAGUUGGUAAGGUAACGGCUUACCAAGGCAACGAUGCGUAGCCGACCUGAGAGGGUGAUCGGCCACACUGGAACUGAGACACGGUCCAGACUCCUACGGGAGGCAGCAGUAGGGAAUCUUCCGCAAUGGGCGAAAGCUUGACGGAGCAACGCCGCGUGAGUGAUGAAGGUCUUCGGAUCGUAAAGCUCUGUUAUUAGGGAAGAACAAAUGUGUAAGUAACUAUGCACGUCUUGACGGUACCUAAUCAGAAAGCCACGGCUAACUACGUG
rnacentral:rRNA from 1 species